rnacentral:rRNA from 1 species
UACAGAGGGGGCAAGCGUUAUUCGGAAUUAUUGGGCGUAAAGCGCGCGCAGGCGGUCUUCCAAGUCAGUGGUGAAAGCCCGGAGCUCAACUCCGGAACUGCCAUUGAAACUGUUAGACUUGAGGACGAGAGAGGUGAGUGGAAUUCCCAGUGUAGAGGUGAAAUUCGUAGAUAUUGGGAAGAACACCGGUGGCGAAGGCGGCUCACUGGCUCGUUUCUGACGCUCAGGCGCGACAGCGUGGGGAUCGAAACAGG